UUUCCAUAGGUGAACCUGCGGAAGGAUCAUUAUUGUAUAACCGAGGUGCGAGGGCUGUCGCUGACCCGAAAGGUCGUGCACGCCCGAGUGCCCUCACACACAUCCAUCUCACCCCUAUGUGCACCACCGCGUGGGUCCCCCUUUGGCUUGUUCGGAGGGGGGCUUACGUUUUCACACAAACUUUGUAUGCAGUGUAGAAUGUAUUUUUUGUUUUUGCGAUCACGCAAUCAAAACAACUUUCAACAACGGAUCUCUUGGUUCUC
rnacentral:misc_RNA from 1 species